ACAGGCUGCCAGCCCCAGACCCCGUUUCCCUGCCGGGAGAUGCCCGGCCACUCCCUCCCGGCCCCGCCGAGCACCUCCCGGCCCGGCAGCGGCGUCGGGGGCUGCGCCCGCGGCCGCUCUGCGGGAGGGGCGGGGGAAAGGGAGAGAGAGGAUCGAGGAGAAGAGGAGGAAAGAAGAAGAGAAGGAAAAGGUCCACGCUUUGCUGUCUCAGGUGCAAACACGGGCAGUGUUAGCGACAGACAUCCCCGACACCCAGCGUUUGUGCGCACAAGUAGGCGCGGGGACUGGACGGGAUGACACUCGGGGAGAGUGGCAGGAGACUCUUCAGUGACAGAUCUUCCCCAGCCUGCUUUACAAAUCGAUUCCUUUCAAACUGUGAUGUUUCACUUGGGGAAAUGAACACUGUCUGAAAUUUACUGCUCUGACAACAAGCUGAAAAAUGCUUUCAUAUUUCUACACGUCCUGAUUUUAUUUCUUUGGGGGCUGCAUGUGAGGUGUGAUUUCCAAAAUGCUUACAAAUAGUGGAAAAUCAGGUGCAUGGCAGGCUAGUGUAUACAGGACUGCUUCAAAUACAUUUUAUUUUCCAAGACAAGCUGAUUUGCAAGUUCAUUUUGAGAGUAAAACCUGAAAGCCAAGACCUCUAAAAGUCUACACCCUUGCUCUAAAAAGUAAGAUACGUACACCUCACUUUCAACACAACUUGUCACCUACCUUUAGGGUAGAAAGCAAAAGUCCUACAACAGCUGAAAUUGCACCUAUGGGAGGGACUGCAGAAAACUGAUACCGAUCACCUUCUGGACAUCACUAUCAAAAUCCCUCUCCCUGAGGAAGGGAAACCUACUUUUUUCUUCCAGCCUCAAUCUGUACAGGUUGAAGCUGCUUAGGAACAUACAAUAAUUUAGAUGCCAUUAUAAGGGUUUUAUAUUCCCUAAAAACACAAGUGAGGUCCAAAACUUUCUCCACGCUCUGUAGAAUAUAUUAUAAACUCAGUAUAUAAGUACAAAGCAUGUAACCUGGAAAUAUUUUAUUUUCCUGGGAAAUAUAAUUUUUGCAUUUCCAUGCAUUUUAAACAAAGAUAAGCCUAUAGAGGUACAUAUUAUUACACACUACUCCAGAACAGAUUUUCACACAUCCAGAUGUUUUUUCCGUUGGAAAGAUGUACUGAAUCUUCUAGUAAACUGGCCUUUUCUUACUUCUCUAUCUGUAAUCAGUGGUUACAUUUCCCUUUUCUAAUUACAGUGCAGCCACAGCCUUUCUAAAGCAACAGCCAUAGGAAAAAUAAAUCUACGCUGAUAAUUUCUUAAGUGACAACUACCACAGGAGAGUACUUAUAUUAUCAAAUGCAUCGAAUCUUCUCUUUAUGCUGGUCUAAAAUUCAUUAAAUAUUAACAUCUCCCGGUGUGAGAAACACACAAAUCACAAUGAGGGCAUCAAAUAACAAUCCAGGCAUCCAAGUAACAGCAGGGAACAUGCUAAAAUAGUCUGGAAAACGCAAAGAGGAAAGUUCUUUACAAAAUGAAGACAGAAGGUGACAACAACUGAGGAUCACACUCAAUCCCUGCCAUAAUUCAUUCACUUUAAACAAAUACUUCAUGAAAUCAUACUAAAGCAAAGCAGUCACAAAGCAAUAUGUUCAGAUUUGUGACGUGAUUGUCCUUUUUCCAUGGAAAGAAACCAUUGUCAUCAUCACUAAAGCACUUUCCACACACUGAUUAGGCCUGAAACUUACCUCUGAACAUGUGCAGCAUGAAAACCUUGUCCAUGGGGUGAGCUCACUUCGUCUGUUCAUAUUCUGUUGUGGCAGCAGUGCUGAGGAGAGGAAUUUGCUCGUCUUCCUUGCUUGGAGCACCUCCUGAAAAGGGACUUUAGGUCUCCCUGUACCAUGGCUGCUCCACACCUCACUGCCUUUUGCUGUCCAGUGGAAGAGCCUGCUGAGGAGUGGUGCUGCCUCCGAGUCUCCCUGGUUACCUAUCUCCUCUGUCAUCGGGGAAGAGGGGAGAUGAGAGAGACGCUCAUCCUUAGCAGCAACCUUUGUUGCUUCCUUGGUAUUGAUAAUGAUGACAUAUCACAGGGGAAGAUCACUCAUUUAAAUCUCUCAUGAAGUAAAACCUAGCCUGGGAGGGAAAUAUGCCAUCUUAAUCCUCCCCCACCUUAGUUUCACCCACUCAGUGCUACAGGUUUGUCUUGGCUUUUUAUCUCUCCUUUACCCAUUCUGCCAAGCCUGCCUUAUCAGGGGUCAGCAUCCUUUCUCACUGAGUUAAGUUUCAAGGUGGGUUGGUUAUUUUUUUCCCUUUUGUAUCCCUGUUUAAAGAGGGACCUAUUUUUCCAAGCAACAUUCAAAGCUGCGGUCAUUUCAGCAAAAUCAGAGGGUCACACUGAAAAACGGUGUCCUGCUAUCAGAUACACACAGAGAUUUUGUGCUAUGGCAGCAGUUAAAACAGCAGUCAUGUCAUCAGACCACUUACCUCUUUUGUAUAAGCAUUGCAUGGUAUCAGCUGUUAUUGAAAGGAGACGUUCAUUAGUUCUAUUUAGUGGUCGGCCUUGGCUCUUCCAGCUGAUGGAGCAGUAGCUGUUCACAAUUACCACUUUGUGCAGAGCUCAGCUUCUUCUCCAGGGAUGAUUUCCCAGUGGUCAGCCAUAAAAGAAUGUCAUGGUCACCCAGCACCCACCCUAAAAGAAAAACAAAGCUUUAUGCUUAACAACAGCAACACUGAAGAAGACAGUGAUCACAUUCACAUUUCUCCUCAUGAUUUUUUUUGCAAGUCAAAAUCGCUAGGAGGCCCAUUCUCCACGGGCUAGGGAAUUCUUCCAGAAGUGGCAGAAGGCAGCCAUGAGUCAUUAGCAUUAGCAUAUAUUUUCUUUUUUUCUUUUUCUUUUGGGAAGUCACUUUUCUAGGUCUUGGGCAUAGGUUGUCCUAGAGUUUCCCUAUCAUGCAAGAAGAGUGCAAUAAACAUGCUGCAUGUACAUCAACA